rnacentral:misc_RNA from 1 species
GCCCCUCGUUGUUAAGCAUGAGAAGACGUCACAGAUAAUGUUGAUAAAUGUAAACGCGUUUGACAAAAACCCAGCUGUUUUCUGUAAACAAUAGUUGCAUUUGCACAAUAAAAAAUGCUGUGACUUUUGACGGGCUGCAGUACAGUCAUUGCAUUAUGACUGACAGGAAGUGAUUGAAAGGGCAAUCCUACAUGUACAGCUUCCUGUAUGGGAAAAUAUUAAAUUUUAUUCCGUACAUUCCAGUGGCAAUUAAUGUAUGACACAUUUUUGUUAUUUUUUUUAUCUAAAUUUUAUGAUUUAUUAUAUUUUGUUUUACAUCUUGUUAUGUGAACUUUCUGUUGUGAAUCUCAAAGUUUUGAAAAUGAAAUCCAAUUUGCAAGAAAUUCCAAAGUUAUUUACUGGUAUAAAUCUUGUUAUGAAAUAUGUUUAUUUAUGUAGCAUAAUUGUUGUGCAAUAAACUAAAUCAGGACUC